rnacentral:lncRNA from 1 species
GCCCCAGCAGCCCUCACCCCAGAGCCAGCAAGGCAAUCAGAGCUGCCCUCCUCGAGCCCAGCUCACCAGGGGAACCCCGGGAGGGGCUCUGCAAAGCCUGUGCUGGGGAGCAUAAAGGCCCAGGAGGGACUGGAACCAUCUAAACACAGAGACAGGCUCCUUCAGGGAGCUCACAGUCUCCUGGGGGAGACGCAGCUGGGACUUCACAGUUGUGAGAGAGCAAGUUUUCCCUUGACCAAGAUCUGGCCAUUCCUGUGGGCCGGGCCUGCUCCAGGAGCUGGGGAAACACCCACGGGGAAGCAGAAGGACGAGGCCCCUGCCUCUUUGAACUGACGUUCUAGCUAGGGGGCCUGUGGAGGCAGACGCUAGAUGAGCAAACAGAGGACAAAAGGUCACAUAAGCACAAAGGAGACCAGCCUGGAGGCAGGUAGAGGGAUUGGGUGCUCGUAGCGGAGCCCUGGGGUAGGGUCAGGGCAGGCGCGAGGACCAGCAGGAGGGCGUGGCUCUGGGAGGUGAGCAGACCGGGCUUGAACCCACUGGCAUUCUUUGCUUUUCAGGGCCUCCACCACAAAACAUGGAUGAUGGGAGCCCCUUGCCAGGCUGUGGCGGGUGAGGGAGGUCACAGACGUCACGUAUGUGGUGGGCUCUGCCUCUGUCGAUACCCUCAGAGGGCGAUGUUGAGACAUCCUGAGGCGCUGAAGAGCUGCCUGUUGGAGUCUUGCCAACCCAGGCGCUGAAGAGUGAAAAGCAGAGGCGGACAGAGGGAGUCACUGCUGAGCGCUGACAACCACUGGCUGAGCUGGACAGAGCCUGAGCUGGGACAGCCCACCUUUGUCACCUGGACGGGGCCCAUUCCAUGUCUGCAAAGCAACGUCACCCUUCACUUUAAAUGGAUGCCAUCUGUUUGAAUUCUAUUGGUUCUGUAGUUUUAUUUGAGCUUAAUUAGUAAAUUGUCUUGAUUUUAUUGUCAGAAGGAGCUAUAAUAACAAAGAGGUUAUACCUACCCUCAGGAAUUAGAAAAUUCGCUCCAGCCCUGCAGGGCCUGGAGAAAUACUGGUCCCUAGAAGGGUCUGUGUGUCAUGCAUAUUCCCAGGUUGUAGAUGAGGACGCUCAGAUGCAGCGUGUGACUGGCUCAAGGUCAGAGAACUGGCAAGUGAGCAGCGUGAGGACCAGCGCUCUGCCGGUUCCCCCGGCCAUUCCGCCCGCCCUUCCCUGCUCUGCUUAUACCACAUGUCACUUGUGCAUCGCCUGCCUCUCACCCCAGAAGUCAGUCCCUGAAGGGGGGGCACGUUCACGUACUGUGAUCACUGCUAUAUCCACAACACCAAGCACAGGGCUGGGCAUGAAAUAAACAAACGUGUCCUCCAGAUCUAGACCAUGACUGGACACAUGGGGAUGCUCUUACAGACGAUUGUGCAAGGAAGGGAGGGAGGGAGAGAAAAGGAAGAGAGGAAUGACUCUCAUUGCUGUGUCAGAUCAACACAAGGGACACCCAGGGGAGAAGGCCAUGGGCACUUGCCUUAGGGGGAUUCAAAGGGAAG